CCCCUUUUCACUUCAUUUUUUUCUUUCUUCCCGCCAAGAAAGCAACAUAAACCCUAGAAGUUUGGGGAUUCAUCUUCGAGAAGAAUUUAAUGUCUCUAACGAUCUAAUGAAACGCUCUCCCUCACACUCCCUCACACACAAUUAAGUUUUGCUGCAGGAAAUGCUUCAUUCGACAAAAUUAACUUGGAAGGUUCCCGUCGUGUACAAAGUUACAGCCAAAGUGAUGUCUUGCUCUUGCAACAUGGCAGAUAUUACAGACAAAGGAGUCUCAUUGGUGGAAGAUCUUCACAAGCCAAGGCAGCCAUUUCCCUCCAUGGAUGCUAUAUAUUUCAUACAGUUGUUAAGACAGAAUGCUGUUAAGGUAUUGUCUGACAUGUUGGGAAGGGGGCCAUUGUACAAGAAGUAUAUGAAGGACAUCUCCAGAAACUUUUUUUUUUUUGGAGUUAGUAAUUAAUUUUUUAGUGAUUUGUUUCCGGGCAAACGCCUUCUUCAGUUCGCCAAUUCAGAAGGAAUUGGUUAAUCUUAUCAAGAAUAUACGAGUGUAAGGCCUCACAUCACAUUGGUGCAUUGGAAGAGAUGAGUUUGGAGUACUUGGCAAUGGAACUUAACUUACCAAGGACCUGUGAUAAAUAAUUGUCAUGUGUAACAUAUUAGGCAGGGAGCUGCUAGUGGUUAUUUCACUUUUCGUAACUGUUUUUGUUUAGUGAUUUAUCCUGUAGGGGUUUGUCCCUGAUAAUGAGAGAGCGCUGGAGGAGCUGUAUGGGGAAAACAUGCAGACCACUUACCCACAUGAGGCUUGUUUGAAUGCGAUGGCAUCUCGGAUUGUUACAGUCUUUGCUUCAUUAAGACAACUUUCAUUUGUUUGGUAUCAUGCUGCCAAGGUUGAUGGUUCCGCAGAGAUGACAUUUCGAGAUAUAAAGCUUGCCGCAUUUGUGUGGAACUGUAUUAACUUCAAAAGCAUCAUGCCUCUGUCAGAAACAUGUGAGCUGCUAUUCCUUGAACCGAACGGGGCAAAUGAACUCUAUGUGAUUGGGAAUUUCAAUUCCUAGGAAUCCAAUUCCCUUUAAAAUGAUAGAUUUCCAUUGCAUUGGUCCAAUGAUGCAACGGAAUUUGGAUUCCGAGGUAAUAACAAAGGUAAUUGAAUUAUCUCAACCGAACAUGAAUUUUUUGGAUUGGAAUCAAAUUCCUUGGAAUCCAAUUCCAAGAAUUGGAUUACCCCAUAGUUGAAUUCCUAGGAUUCUAAUUCUCCCAACCGAACGCGCUAUUAAUGUUUGUGUAAUUUGAGGUUUACUUUACAUAUCCUGAUACGAAUAUGCUGUUAGGUUCCAAGUAACUCAGGUGUUGAACCUGAUUAGAAGGAUGUUUUUUUGGGGGAUCAUAGUCCUGUGUGGCUCGAGUUAUGCCAUGCACAUAUUGCAGAUGUAUGUCUGAUUUCUAAGAGUUUAUAUUCUUGUAGGAAAUCAGGAGGAUUAUGUUUUGAUCUUUGUACAUUAUUAUAGGCUGGCGAAAGAUUGCAUGAGAAGAUGACUUCAUUUGUUUCAAAAAUAAAUCUGCAGAAAUACAAUCGAGGUUUAUUUUACGUGGUUUAUGUUAUUCAAUGAACACUGACUCAUUUCAAUUUUGUCAAUAUAGUGAAUUAAGAUGAUGGCAAUGCUCGGAGGUAUACGUAAUGUGUUCCUUACACAUCUUCUGGAUAUAUUUGAAAAAGUUGUAACAGCUGUAUCAUAAAGUUGGUACAGGGUCACUCUAGUUUUAGUAAAACAUAUUCAGAAAGAAUAGUAUUUGCAUUUUAAGUCUUACAAUGAUUGGAUUUCAUGGAUCGAGGUCGGAUCCUAAUCUUAGAAUUCUUCUGAGUUCGUAUUAGAAUGAUGUAUUUCUAGUUCAUGUGGUUAUUAUCCCAAUCCCCUCUUUUAAAUGUUACUUUUUGUACAGAGAUGGGAGUGAACUGUCAUCUGGAGGAGACUUGCAAAAGAUGGUCCCAGCCCUACCACAGAUGGUGAACAAAAGGAUAAGCUCUUCUUCCAUGUAGAGGACUCUCCAGUCUUCAACUAUCAGCUAGCUCUGCAGGUAGUGAUUCUCCAAGUACUGGAGAUCCUACUGUGUCCAUAGCUGAAGGAAAAAUAAUGUGAAGUUACCUUGAAGCAAUACGCAACCGUCCAAUCAGCAACUCCUUUUGAUAAAAGAGUGUGUAGAUGCCAUCAUUGAGCACCAGAGACUUCUCCAAUUGAUGAAAGGAGAGUUGGUUAAGGGUUUGUUACCACAAAGUAGUGUUCAUCCAGACUACACAAUGCAAACGAUUCAAGAGCUUGCUGAAGGAACUUGCUUGAUGACCUACGAGUAUCUGCGAACUGCAUUGUGGGAUGCCAUUUUUACUACUCUGCCAUAGAAUGAAGGUCGACUAUGGAGGCAUAAUCUGGGGUAGGCAUAGUCUAGUACUAGUAUCCGUCAUCCAGCAUGCUCAAAUAUUUGGUAAUAAAAUAAAAGUUGAAACUUUUAUACCCAUAUCAACGGGCAUGUUUUUCCUGUCUUUCACAGCUAGUUGCACCAAGCAAGAGCUUUGGAUGCAACUGAUGACUUGCGGAAUUUACUGAUAAUUUAGCUCACCAUACAAACAUGGAAUGUCCUGGUAAAAACAUGGAUGUAUGAAGUGCCCUGGGUCUUUUUCUGUCAAUUUUAUCUUAUGUCAACCUUCUUCAUCCAUGUCAUAGCGAGGAGCUUGCUGGUCUUCAUUGCUUUCGUCACCUGCAGGAUCUGUUAGUAACUACUAUGCAAAAUCCGCUUGCUCUUAAUUUUGACUAUUUUCAGCAACAACGUUCUGUUUAGUUAUUAUGUAAUUCUAGUGCACCAGGGGACUGAUCCAAUCCAUAUAUUCUUGGACUCCUCUAGUGGAUAUCUAGUGUAGUUUAUAUUGAUU